CUUGGUUUUUGUGUUGAUGCAGCAUUAUUAAGUGUAAAAUUCUCAUCCUGAAUUUCAUAUGCUGCUCAGGUUGGAGCAAAUGAAAUUCCACGCGGAAGUUGUCCUUGCUUGCGUUGUCAGCUUCAUUUGUGUUCAUCAAAGUCUUUGUGAUGAAAUUUCCAACACCUCUGGCAUAAAGGACUGGACGUGUGAAUGCUCCUCUUCAUAUCAAGGGAAUCAGAGUUACACAAUUGGAUCUAACUGUUCAACAUCCUGCGAUUGCAGUCAGGAUGGUGGAAGUAUAUGGAGGUGCCAAUGUCCUGCAGAUGGGCUUCCUAAAGUUGCAGCUGAUAGCCAGUAUACUAACUGUUUUGCAGCCUGUAACUGUUCCAUUGGAUCUCUUGGUGAUACAGAAUCUUCAAAAACGCACAUUUCAAGCAAAGUUGUUGUAGUUGUAUUAUUAAUAUGUGUCAUCCUUACAACUCUUGCAUUUCUCUCCUCGGUGGCAUGCUACUUCUACCGAAAAGACAAGUCUGCUAUUCAACCACCAGUGUUGUCAUCAGACAGAGAAACUAGUUUCAACAGUGCUGCCAAUUUAAUUAGCCACAGGACUUAUUCACUCUCUGAACCCAAAACUGUUAUAAAUUCUCCUAUUAAACAAAUCAAAGGGUGCUUUCACAGGAAUUCUUUCUUGUUGGGGAGCAGAACAGGAACAAUACAUGGAUUGAUUGUUCAAUUUUCGUACUCUGAAUUGCAUGAUGCCACUGAAAAAUUUUCAAAGUCUAAUCUUAUAGGAGUUGGGGGAAGUAGUUAUGUUUAUCGUGGUAAGCUCAAAAAUGGCAAGACUGUGGCAAUUAAGCGACUAAAAACUCAGAAAGGGCCUGAUGCCGUUUCUGUGUUUUUGACAGAGAUUGAGAUAUUAUCCAGACUGAAUCACUGUCAUCUGGUGCCUCUGGUUGGCUACUGCUCAGAAACCCGCGGAAAAAAUGCUGAGAGGUUGUUAGUGUUUGAUUACAUCCCUAACGGUAAUCUGCGAGAUUGUUUAGAUGGGGCCUCGGGGAAAAAGAUGGAUUGGGGUGCUCGAGUUGGAAUUGCAAUUGGAGCUGCAAGAGGAUUAGAGUAUCUCCAUGAAGCAGCUGCUCCAAGAAUUCUGCAUCGAGAUGUCAAAUCAACAAACAUUCUUUUGGAUGAAGAAUGGCGAGCAAAGAUAACUGAUCUUGGUAUGGCAAAACACUUGAGAGCCGAUGGUCUCUCCAGCGGUUCGAAUUCUCCAGCAAGAGUGGAGGGGACUUUCGGCUACUUUGCACCAGAGUAUGCGAUUGUUGGACGAGCCUCUCUUAAGUCGGAUGUUUUCAGUUUUGGGGUUGUUCUUCUUGAGCUUAUCACUGGUCGGCCGCCUAUUCAUAAACAAAGUGGCAAAGGAGAAGAAAGCCUUGUCAUAUGGGCUACUCCUCGGUUACAGGACAGUAGGCGAAUAAUCAUGGAGCUGCCGGACCUGAAUUUAGAUGGUAAAUUCCCAGAAGAAGAGAUGCAGAUAAUGGCUUACUUGGCAAAGGAAUGCCUGCUAUUGGAUCCCGAGGCUAGACCAACAAUGGGUGAGGUUGUUCAAAUUCUUUCAACUAUUGCACCAGAAAGAUCUAGAAGGACGAACAUCUCUGUGAAUUUUUCUCAGAGGUCGUCAACUUAUGGUGCGCACAGCGAAGAAUGCAUAGACAUACCUGACUGCAGCCAUAUUUCCAAACAACACAUGCACACAGAGAGUUCUGAGGAUGCAGAGGAGCUAAAGCGAGUCGUGUCCUAUAAUCUCUCGGUUCAGUGUUCAGUGCCACUAGAUGUCAACCACACAGCUAUUCAUGUUGAAGACAAGGAAGAAAAUAGAAUUUCAGCUGAGUAUAUGGAGAGAUUGGUACUCUUGGCAUCAAAAGCUAGGAGCUGGCGUGCCUCGGAUGAUGAGACAGUAGACUUGACUGAACCUUGGUUUGAAUCAUUCCACAUGGGAAGUGUUCGUCCCCCAUAACUUGCUAGCAAACAUGGACUUAGCAAGAGAAAGAGGACCAGAACUUUGUCCUGAUGGAGGGUAUUACUUGAUGACAGGAUGGUGCGACAUUUGAGAUAUAAUAUUAUAAGCCAUCUGUAUUUUAGACAACUCCCAUUACUGCAUUUUAAGAGCUGCUGUGAGAAAUGGAUCUGCAUCCACCGCCACCGCCACCGCCAAGCGAACCGUUGCUGCCUCCGGCUCCGGCUCCUCCUGAGGGAGGAUUCUUAGAAUCAUGUUUGUCGUUUCUGUGCUGCUGUGGUCUAUUUAGAAGCUGCUGUCCACCGCUCUUUGCACCUGGACCUCCCCCUCCCUAAUGUUGCAAACGACAAUCUUCAUAUCACAGAAUCACAGAAUCUUUUGUAAUUUAUUUACGAACUCUUUGUAUUGUGAACGUAUAUGUUGGCAACAACUUAAAAUGUAAUUGGAAAUGGACCUGUCACCUCUCCUGUGUACGCCGAUCGAGAAAAUUUGAUUUUUAGUUCUCUUACGUGUAUGGUUUUAUAUUACUAAAUAAAUUAUUUAACACAAUGUAAGCAUUUUUCUACUUGUAUGU